AUGCUUGUAAAUCAUGAAAAUAAUGCUUUAGGUGCUGGUUAUAUUGUUGAAAUCAUUCAUGAUGCUACUGAAAAUUAUUACGAGGGAGGAACAUAUGCUUGUAGGAAUUUCAAUAAUAUCAAGUUUCCUCUCUAUGUGUUGAAAAUCUUGAAGCUAUGCUUGUUUUGCCUUCCUAUGCUAGUUGAUUAUUGUUCCCAUAAAUUGUUUGCUCAAAAAAUCCCUAUGCAUAGGAAGUGGGUUAGGCUUAAAUGUGCUAGUCAUAAGCUUCAUGAUGCUCUCUUUGUGUUUCAAUUCUUAUCUUUUAUGUGA
rnacentral:rRNA from 1 species